AUACGGAGGACGCGAGCGUUAUCCGGAUUCAUUGGGUUUAAAGGGUGCGCAGGCGGCCGUGCAAGUCAGCGGUGAAAGCCCGGGGCUCAACCCCGGAAGUGCCGUUGAUACUGCAUGGCUGGAAUGCGGUCGAGGCGGGCGGAACGUGGUGUGUAGCGGGGGAAUGCGUAGAUAUGCCACAGAACGCCGAUAGCGGAGGCAGCUGGCCAGGCCUGCAUUGACGCUCGGGCACGAAAGCGUGGGGAUCGAACAGGAUUAGAUCCCCUGGUAGUCCACGCCGUAAACGAUGGGCGCUCGUCGUCGGCGGCAGACAGUCGGCGGCCAAGCGAAAGCGAUAAGCGCCCCACCUGGGGAGUACGGUCGCAAGGCUGAAACUCAAAGGAAUUGGCGGGG
rnacentral:rRNA from 1 species